AGCAGCCGCGGUAAUUCCAGCUCCAAUAGCGUAUAUUAAAGUUGUUGCAGUUAAAAAGCCCGUAGUUGAAUUUCGGGAUCAAUAUGUCGGUCGUGCCUCCGGUACGUACUGGCAUCAUUGAUUUCUCCCUUCUGACGAACCAUGAUGUCAUUAAUUUGGUGUCAUGGGGAGUCAGAACUGUUACUUUGAAAAAAUUAGAGUGUUUAAAGCAGGCUCACGCUUGAAUACAUUAGCAUGGAAUAAUGAAAUAGGACGUUUGACCCUAUUUUGUUGGUUUCUAGGAUCAACGUAAUGAUUAAUAGGGAUAGUUGGGGGCAUUAGUAUUCAAUUGUCAGAGGUGAAAUUCAUGGAUUUAUUGAAAGACUAAACUAC
rnacentral:rRNA from 1 species